rnacentral:rRNA from 1 species
AUGGAUUCUAUCUUGGCGAAUGAAACCUGGGAGAUAACUGAUCGUCCUUAUGGGUGCAAACCUAUAGGAUGCAAAUGGGUAUUCAAGAAGAAGCUUAGGCCUGAUGGUACUAUAGAAAAGUACAAGGCUCGGCUCGUGGCUAAGGGUUAUACCCAAAAGGAAGGUGAAGACUUCUUUGAUACUUACUCACCUGUGGCUCGACUGACUACUAUUCGAGUUCUACUUUCACUAGCUGCCUCACAUGGUCUUCUCGUUCAUCAAAUGGAUGUUAAGACUGCUUUCCUAAAUGGAGAGUUGGAUGAGGAAAUUUAUAUGGAACAACCAGAUGGGUUUGUAAUAGAUGGUCAGGAAGGGAAAGUGUGCAAGUUGCUGAAGUCUUUGUAUGGACUCAAGCAAGCACCCAAACAGUGGCAUGAGAAGUUCGAAAGAACUCUAACAGAUGCAGGCUUUGUUGUGAACGAAGCUGACAAAUGUGUGUACUAUCGCCAUGGUGGGGAUGAUGAUGGUGGGAUUACGUUGCUUCAAUCUCACUAUGUGGAAAAGAUCUUGAGUCGCUUUGGCUAUAGUGACUGCAAGCCCUCUCCAACACCAUAUGAUGCUAGCGUGUUGCUUCGAAAGAAUCGAAGAAUUGCUAAAGACCAAUUGAAAUAUUCACAGAUUAUUGGCUCGCUUAUGUACUUAGCCAGUGCUACAAGACCUGACAUCUCUUUUGCUGUUAGCAAACUGAGUCGGUUUGUUUCAAAACCAGGAGAUGUGCAUUGGAAAGCUCUAGAGAGAGUUUUGCGUUAUUUGAAAGGCACUGCGAAUUAUGGAAUUCACUACACUGGGCACCCAAAGGUGCUUGAAGGGUAUAGUGACUCAAAC